rnacentral:rRNA from 1 species
GACGAACGCUGGCGGCGCGCCUAACACAUGCAAGUCGAACGGAGUUUUCAAGUGGAUCCCUUCGGGGUGAACUUAAAAACUUAGUGGCGGACGGGUGAGUAACGCGUGAGUAACCUGCCUUUCAGAGGGGGGAUAACAACCGGAAACGGUUGCUAAUACCGCAUAACGUAUCGAAGCCGCAUGGUUUUGAUACCAAAGGAGCAAUCCGCUGAGAGAUGGACUCGCGUCCAAUUAGCUAGUUGGUGAGGUAACGGCCCACCAAGGCGACGAUUGGUAGCCGGACUGAGAGGUUGAACGGCCACAUUGGGACUGAGACACGGCCCAGACUCCUACGGGAGGCAGCAGUGGGGAAUAUUGCACAAUGGGGGAAACCCUGAUGCAGCGACGCCGCGUGAGGGAAGAAGGUUUUCGGAUUGUAAACCUCUGUCCUUGGUGACGAUAAUGACGGUAGCCAAGGAGGAAGCCACGGCUAACUACGUG